rnacentral:rRNA from 1 species
UUCGCAAUGCCCGAAAGGGUGACGAAGCGACGCCGCGUGGGUGAGGAAGGCCUUCGGGUUGUAAUGCCCUGUCAGGAGUUAAGAAAUGUAGACUCGCUAAUAUCGGGUCUAUUUGACAAAGGCUCCAAAGGAAGCCACGGCUAACUCUGUGCCAGCAGCCGCGGAAAUACAGAGGUGGCAAGCGUUGUUCGGAAUUAUUGGGCGUAAAGAGCACGUAGGUGGAUUUGUAAGUCAGACGUGAAAGCCCUCUGUUCAACGGAAGAAUUGCAUCUGAAACUACAAACCUUGAGUGUAGGAGGGGAGAAUGGAACUUCUGGUGGAGCGGUGAAAUGCGUAGAUAUCAGAAGGAACGCCGGCGGCGAAAGCGAUUCUCUGGCCUAUUACUGACACUCAGUGUGCGAAAGCUAGGGGAGCAAACGGGAUUAGAUACCCCGGUAGUCCUAGCCGUAAACGAUGGGCACUAAGUAGAGGGGUUUU